rnacentral:lncRNA from 1 species
AUCACUUUGUUUUGACUCUCCAUGCAUUAAAAUUAAAUAUCGUUCAUAGUAAGCUUGAAAAUUUUUCAGUUUGCCGGGAAAUUGGUUCGGAAAUUUAGACCCUUCCUAUUUAUGUUUCCGAGUAUUAAAUGUUUAGGAAUCACGUUGAGCAUGCGUCUAGCUAAUUAGCUCUCGAACUUUGCAAUCAACGAAAAGCUUUCAGCUUUUUCUUUUUUCACUCUGCUUUGCCACUAUCUAUGUCAUGGCUUUUACCGUAUCUCCCAAGGGCAGCAAGGUACGUAGCCCAAGUAAAACACUUAUAUGUAUUGAGCGAGAGAGAGACUGGGUUUCAUCCAGAGACGACUCUCUCUCUCUCUCUCUCUCUCUCUCUCUCUCUCUCUNNNNNNNNNNNNNNNNNNNNNNNNNNNNNNNGUAUUGUAGCGAGAGAGAGACUGGUUUCGUAUCCACGAGACGACUCUCUCUCUCUCUCUCUCUCUCUCUCUCUCUCUGCUUCAAUGCGUACUCCCGAGCCAUUAACACCGCUUCUCCGGAGUUAUCUCUGGGGGGAGAGGGAUCUUAUGAAAGUUCUGACGUGUGCUGCACAGACAGCUUGGGAUGUUAAGAAUCGCAAGAACAAGAAGCGCACCCUAUCUGCCGUUUUGAUUCCGUAAAAAAGAAUGCCGGCCACUGCUUUCCUCCGCAGGCCCUCCGGAUGGCGCAAGUUGCUAAUUUGGCGCAUUUUUCUUCGCAG